rfam:Enterococcus italicus DSM 15952 genomic scaffold SCAFFOLD1, whole genome shotgun sequence.
AAAAAGAAGCUGGGGUGCCUGAUGGCUGAGAAUUACCCAUAUUACCUGAUCUAGUUAGUACUAGCGUAGGGAGCUGAGCAAAGAAUGAU